rnacentral:rRNA from 2 species
GAUCUUCUCCUUCAUGGGAGAUGAUUGAAAGAUGGUUUCGGCUAUCACUUACAGAUGGGCCCGCGGUGCAUUAGCUAGUUGGUGAGGUAACGGCUCACCAAGGCAACGAUGCAUAGCCGACCUGAGAGGGUGAUCGGCCACACUGGGACUGAGACACGGCCCAGACUCCUACGGGAGGCAGCAGUAGGGAAUCUUCCGCAAUGGACGAAAGUCUGACGGAGCAACGCCGCGUGAGUGAUGAAGGCUUUCGGGUCGUAAAACUCUGUUGUUAGGGAAGAACAAGUACAAGAGUAACUGCUUGUACCUUGACGGUACCUAACCAGAAAGCCACGGCUAACUACGUGCCAGCAGCCGCGGUAAUACGUAGGUGGCAAGCGUUAUCCGGAAUUAUUGGGCGUAAAGCGCGCGCAGGCGGUUUCUUAAGUCUGAUGUGAAAGCCCACGGCUCAACCGUGGAGGGUCAUUGGAAAACUGGGGAACUUGAGUGCAGAAGAGAAAAGCGGAAUUUCCACGUGUAGCGGUGAAAUGCGUAGAGAUGUGAGGAACACCAGUGGCGAGCGGCUUUUGGUCUGUACUGACGCU